rnacentral:rRNA from 1 species
GACUGCCAGUGAUAAACUGGAGGAAGGUGGGGAUGACGUCAAGUCAUCAUGGCCCUUACGACCAGGGCUACACACGUGCUACAAUGGCAUAUACAAAGAGAAGCGACCUCGCGAGAGCAAGCGGACCUCAUAAAGUAUGUCGUAGUCCGGAUUGGAGUCUGCAACUCGACUCCAUGAAGUCGGAAUCGCUAGUAAUCGUGGAUCAGAAUGCCACGGUGAAUACGUUCCCGGGCCUUGUACACACCGCCCGUCACACCAUGGGAGUGGGUUGCAA